UACGUAGGCAGCAAGCGUUGUUCGGAUUUACUGGGCGUAAAGGGUGCGUAGGCGGCUAUUUAAGUUUGGUGUGAAAUCUCCCGGCUCAACUGGGAGGGUGCGCCGAAUACUGAGUGGCUAGAGUGCGGGAGAGGAAAGUGGAAUUCCUGGUGUAGCGGUGAAAUGCGUAGAUAUCAGGAGGAACACCGGUGGUGUAAACGGCUUUCUGGACCGUAACUGACGCUGAGGCACGAAAGCGUGGGUAGCAAACAGG
rnacentral:rRNA from 1 species